AAUCCAUAGGUUAAUGAGGCGAACCGGGGGAACUGAAACAUCUAAGUACCCCGAGGAAAAGAAAUCAACCGAGAUUCCCCCAGUAGCGGCGAGCGAACGGGGAGGAGCCCAGAGCCUGAAUCAGCAUGUGUGUUAGUGGAAGCGUCUGGAAAGGCGCGCGAUACAGGGUGACAGCCCCGUACACAAAAGCGCAUGUGCUGUGAGCUCGAUGAGUAGGGCGGGACACGUGGUAUCCUGUCUGAAUAUGGGGGGACCAUCCUCCAAGGCUAAAUACUCCUGACUGACCGAUAGUGAACCAGUACCGUGAGGGAAAGGCGAAAAGAACCCCGGCGAGGGGAGUGAAAAAGAACCUGAAACCGUGUACGUACAAGCAGUGGGAGCACCCUUUGGGUGUGACUGCGUACCUUUUGUAUAAUGGGUCAGCGACUUAUAUUCUGUAGCAAGGUUAACCGAAUAGGGGAGCCGGAGGGAAACCGAGUCUUAAUUGGGCGUUAAGUUGCAGGGUAUAGACCCGAAACCCGGUGAUCUAGCCAUGGGCAGGUUGAAGGUUGGGUAACACUAACUGGAGGACCGAACCGACUAAUGUUGAAAAAUUAGCGGAUGACCUGUGGCUGGGGGUGAAAGGCCAAUCAAACCGGGAGAUAGCUGGUUCUCCCCGAAAGCUAUUUAGGUAGCGCCUCGUGAAUUCAUCUCCGGGGGUAGAGCACUGUUUCGGCUAGGGGGCCAUCCCGGCUUACCAACCCGAUGCAAACUGCGAAUACCGGAGAAUGUUAUCACGGGAGACACACGGCGGGUGCUAACGUCCGUCGUGAAGAGGGAAACAACCCAGACCGCCAGCUAAGGUCCCAAAGUCAUGGUUAAGUGGGAAACGAUGUGGGAAGGCCCAGACAGCCAGGAUGUUGGCUUAGAAGCAGCCAUCAUUUAAAGAAAGCGUAAUAGCUCACUGGUCGAGUCGGCCUGCGCGGAAGAUGUAACGGGGCUAAACCAUGCACCGAAGCUGCGGCAGCGACACUGUGUGUUGUUGGGUAGGGGAGCGUUCUGUAAGCCUGUGAAGGUGUGUCGUGAGGCAUGCUGGAGGUAUCAGAAGUGCGAAUGCUGACAUAAGUAACGAUAAAGCGGGUGAAAAGCCCGCUCGCCGGAAGACCAAGGGUUCCUGUCCAACGUUAAUCGGGGCAGGGUGAGUCGACCCCUAAGGCGAGGCCGAAAGGCGUAGUCGAUGGGAAACGGGUUAAUAUUCCCGUACUUGGUGUUACUGCGAAGGGGGGACGGAGAAGGCUAUGUUGGCCGGGCGACGGUUGUCCCGGUUUAA
rnacentral:rRNA from 1 species